UUAGAGUUUGAUCCUGGCUCAGAUUGAACGCUGGCGGCAUGCUUUACACAUGCAAGUCGAACGGCAGCGAGGAGAAGCUUGCUUCUCUGUCGGCGAGUGGCGAACGGGUGAGUAUAGCAUCGGAACGUGCCAAGUAGUGGGGGAUAACCAAACGAAAGUUUGGCUAAUACCGCGUAAGCUCCAAGGAGGAAAGUAGGGGACCUAAAUAAGGCCUUACGCUAUUUGAUCGGCCGAUGUCGGAUUAGUUAGUUGGUGGGGUAAUGGCUCACCAAGGCAAUGAUCCGUAGCGGGUCUGAGAGGACGAUCCGCCACACUGGGACUGAGACACGGCCCAGACUCCUACGGGAGGCAGCAGUGGGGAAUUUUGGACAAUGGGGGAAACCCUGAUCCAGCCAUGCCGCGUGUAUGAAGAAGGCCUUAGGGUUGUAAAGUACUUUUGUUAGGGAAGAAAAGCUAGUCUUUAAUAAAAAUUAGUGAUGACGGUACCUAAAGAAUAAGCACCGGCUAACUACGUGCCAGCAGCCGCGGUAAUACGUAGGGUGCAAGCGUUAAUCGGAAUUAUUGGGCGUAAAGCGAGUGCAGACGGUUACU
rnacentral:rRNA from 1 species